ensembl:lncRNA
AUGGCGGAGCCUCCCAACACAAGAAAUGGACCAUUCACCUCCCAGAAUUCUUCGACCAGCUCCCUUGACUACUCUGAUCUGACCCUGUCCCUCCCAGCGCUGCCUGCGUCGGGGGUUGGAGACGGGGAGGAUGGAAGAAGUACUUUGUCUGGACCGCUAUCACCCACAUCACAGGAUAUGAGAUAUGGGAGGAACGCGGAAGACUUGAGUGAAUGGCGGUGUGAGUUCAGGGGUCAAAUCACAGCACUGAGAGAGUGGCUGACGAGUAUGGAGAUGAGGCUGCCUCCUCUGGACCAAAGGGUUAGUUGAGUUAGCUGCCUUCUGUUGUCUCUCGGCCUUCAUCACCAUUUCCCAAUCUAUUCAGAAAUUCCAGCCGGAACCUGUGUGGUCUUUUCCCGCUCCUGCUCCUGGACGCCGUGUCCCUCAAGCUGCUGGCCAGCUUUCCCGAGGGCAGCUCCAAAGAUGUUGUCUCCUUCUUCUUUAUUUUCAAGCGGAGGCAUUUUCUCUUUCUCAGUCUCCUCCAACAGGAGAUGUUUGCCUCCUUCUAAGGCAAACAUCUCGUCGCAUCGAUCCAACUGCGCGACACCGACGGUACAGCCGGCACCGGGCUGGGUAGUGAGUGGCCCUCAGGUUCUAGCUGGGUUUUCUUUCCUUCCUUCCAGGCUCUCCUGCCUCUCCUCUGGUUGAGUCAAAGUCCCCUGCACUUGAUCCAAUCCACGAGCUGCCUUCUCCAAUGUUGAUGAGUGGAUUCUGUGAUAUGCCUUUAGUGUUCCAGCCACACACACAAAAACAAGGCUAAAAGAUGAAUCCUCGUCUAGGAUUUUGAAAUAAAGGAAAUAUAGUUAAUGACUCCACAUUAAAUUGAAACACGACAAAAGUUUCCUGAUACAUUUGAGUUAAUGUUGUUGACAGUAAUAUUGACACUGCCAUUAAGAUCAAGAUGAACGCUACUUGCAGCCUCACAUUUUUUUGAGUUGUUGGUUAUUUGUCAACCAAUACAUUUAAAAUAGUUCUCUGUAACUUUAAAUAAUCCCAACUAAAUAAAAAAGAAGAAAAUGAUAAACAGAUACAGAUCAGUAUUAAAUGACAAACAUUAAACAAUUAUUGUAUUGUUAUAAGUAUUUUCCACCAUCUAGCAUGGUUUCCAGCAUCUUGCAAUUUUCCAUAGAGCAACAUCAUAACUCCUUUGUGGAGAUCCAUGCAGAUUGACUGAGAUUGUCUCAACAGUAAAACAUGGGCCCAGUAAAGUAACAGGUUCAAAACCUAAACAGCAAAGUGAACCACCGAGUCACGCUGGUGAGGGAACAAACACUGAACUUAAUUGAGCAUCGCCAAAAAGCAGAAAGGGACUGUGGAGUUUUUUUUCAAUGUCCGACAUAGUCAGACUGAUACUGAGGUGGUCCUCCUUUGCUCGUGCAGGGAGACUUCUUUAGACCACAGAGGGGCCGAGGAACCAGGCUCCUUUGUGCCUCGGCUGGACGGCCGGUCUAGCGAAGGGCUCGGCGCUGGAGGCCCUCUGCACACAUGAGCACACACGCAUAAAAGACAUUACACUCAGAUGGGUGGAAGGGCCAAGAGGGCAGGGGAAAAAAAAGAAAAGCAGGAUUGUUGGGGUGAGACUACGGAGGCUUUUAUUGAUCGCUAACUUUUGAUUUGUUCAUGUACCAUUUACAGCAAUAUUUGAACAAAGAUUUGUCGUUCAAAGCUUCAGCCAGAAAUUAUAUUACCAGCUAGGUCAAAACAACUGUUUGGGCAAGUACUUAACGACAGGCUUUAAUUACAACGAAAUAGCUUGAUUACUUAUAUUUAUGUAAUUGUGGUGUCGGCAGGUCAGCAGGUUUGCCAACAAGUUAACCGUAGCAGUGGCGUCGCUAUUGUCAGGCACCGUUCGUGAUUGAUUGAUUAAACCUGUUGUGAUUAGGUUCCUCAGCUUUGACGGCACGAAUCAGAUUACGUAUUUCCCAAAGCACACGUAAUCUGAGAAAUGUUUUCUGAACGUUUGGAUUACUAAAGAGAUUUUGAUUGGUAAUUGCUAAUCAGUACAAUAAAAGGCCACUAAUAUGUCUCAUCUCAUGCUCAUGCACAAAAACAAAAACACACAAACGCACAAAAACACCAACCUGUCACUCCUCCGUAGUGCAGCAAGUUGGUACGGUAAUCUUUAUUCAAAUAUUCUUAGCGAAGGGUGUCUGCACUUUCUUUAAUGAGCUGGGAAUCAGUUUUGAUAAAAGGGUCACAAGUUUUUAUUGUGACAGUAAGAAUUGAUUUUGGUUUAUGUGGUCCAUUGAUGUAGAUGCGUUCCAUCGUCCUAACGGAACGAGCUGAAUUGAUUUUAUGGUAUAAAUUGACAACAUACGUUGUGUGUUUGAACUGCAUGACCGUUGAAGGAAUCCACUGAUUGCCAAGAGAAAGCACUCAACAGGGAAUGUUCUCAGAAAAAAAAAAAAAAACGAGUCUGUGUCACAUUUAGUCUCCGUCUGAAUAAAGCCACCGUUUCCCUGGGGACCGACGUCUAAGAUGCACAGGCAUGUCCUACCACGUCGUGAAAGCUCAGAUGCUUUGGAGAGCCGUCGUCUGACCCCCAACGAGAGUGUGUGAAUACAGCGAGUGUCUUUUUCAUCUUAACCAUGCCUUCAUCACACUGCAUCCGACCACAGACCUUUGUCAUGGUAAUCCUCUGAGUCUGCUGCACUGCUGGUUUCAGUCUAGGCCUGAGGGACUCGUUAGCUAGCUGCAUGAAUGAGGACGUCCCUCAGCAGCAGCCCCCCACCCACCCAUACGACGUCUACAAUACACAGGAGAGAGGCACACACCUGCUUCUUAACACAAGGCGUGCACCGGACAACUUUUUUUUAGGAUUGAGCACUAGGAUAAAUAUGAAAAAAAAUCCAACAGUAUUAAUAGAGCAGGAACUCAGAAAACAAGUCAUUACUUCACCAAUUGUGCAUGUUUGCAUAAUUUGUUAACUGUGAAGCAAGCUUAUGCUAAGAUGAUAUUAGAACACCAACUGAUCAGGCUCACAGAAUACUUCAUAUUUAAGUUGAUUUGAAAGUAGCCAUUCCGCGCUGGAGCUUCCAAUGGUAUCACACAUCAUUCCUCAGCUGAUAGAGUUGCCCUUUGAGGAUGUAUUUAAAGAAACUCCAAAAUAGCAUCUGGAUGGACGUUGCAGUACCUUUGAUUCAAUCGCCGUUUAAUUAAUAAAAUCUAAAAUACGAACAAUGGACUCAGACUAAUGUGUGUCGAGUGUUUUUACCUCGCCUUAACCAAUCCAUGGCAAUGACCAAGACUCUGUUGCCAAUUGUUUGUAAACUUAACUUCAUGAAAUGAUCAUGCACCUGCCAAUUUUUGUGAAAAGAAAGUCCUCAUGUUCCUGAGUGAUAGUAAAAUAUAUGUUAGUUCACUUGGACAGUUAGUUGGAGGUGAAAAGUUCUUCUUCCUGUUUGCCUGUGAGGCUCUUCUGCAUAAAGGCUC